rnacentral:lncRNA from 1 species
UUUUCAAUCUCACAAAAUCAGCAACCCUAGGUCGCCGCAUUACCAGCUUUGGCCGGCAAACCUUUUCGCCGUCGUGACCAACUCCUCUCACCCUCACCCACCUUGUCUCCUCCAUUGUCUUCCUUUCACCGCACCACCAGCAAACCAAGACUGCUUCUCCUCUCGAUUCUCUUCGGCCACCAACGAACCUCCUCGCCGC